rnacentral:rRNA from 1 species
GAUGAACGCUGGCGGCGUGCCUAAUACAUGCCCGUCGAGCGAACAGAUAAGGAGCUUGCUCCUUUGACGUUAGCGGCGGACGGGUGAGUAACACGUGGGUAACCUACCUAUAAGACUGGGAUAACUUCGGGAAACCGGAGCUAAUACCGGAUAACAUUUGGAACCGCAUGGUUCUAAAGUGAAAGAUGGUUUUGCUAUCACUUAUAGAUGGACCCGCGCCGUAUUAGCUAGUUGGUAAGGUAACGGCUUACCAAGGCAACGAUACGUAGCCGACCUGAGAGGGUGAUCGGCCACACUGGAACUGAGACACGGUCCAGACUCCUACGGGAGGCAGCAGUAGGGAAUCUUCCGCAAUGGGCGAAAGCCUGACGGAGCAACGCCGCGUGAGUGAUGAAGGGUUUCGGCUCGUAAAACUCUGUUAUUAGGGAAGAACAAACGUGUAAGUAACUGUGCACGUCUUGACGGUACCUAAUCAGAAAGCCACGGCUAACUACGUG